CGCAGGGCUCUGCCAGAGCUCCGGCUGCUUCCUGUCCGCGCGGCCGUCUGACAGCAUCAGUAUUACAUUGAGACAGUUUCAUUACCGGUUAAAAACUUGUCGCGUUAAAUAGCAGUCUAAUUCAGUGUUUUUGU